AGUGGAGUGGAAUGUAGUGUAGUAUAGUGUAGUAUAGUGUAGUGUAGUGUAGUAUAGUGUAGUGUAGUAUAGUGUAAUAUAGUGGAGUGUAAUGUAGUAUAUAGUGUAGUGUAGUAUAGUGUAAUAUAGUGGAGUGUAAUGUAAUGUAGUAUAGUGUAGUAUAGUGUAGUGUAGUAUAGUGUAAUAUAGUGGAGUGGAAUGUAGUGUAGUAUAGUGUAGUGUAGUAUAGUGUAAUAUAGUGGAGUGGAAUGUAGUGUAGUAUAGUGUAGUAUAGUGUAGUUAUGUAUAGUGUAGUAUAGUGGAGUGGAAUGUAGUAUAGUGUAGUAUAGUGGAGUGUUAUGUAGUAUAGUGGAGUGGAAUGUAGUAUAGUAUAGUGUAGUGUAGUAUAGUGGAGCGUAGUAUAGUGUAGUAUAGUGGAGUGGAAUGUAGUAUAGUAUAGUGUAGUAUAGUGGAGUGGAAUUUAGUAUAGUAUAGUGUAGUAUAGUAUAGUAUAGUGUAGUAUAGUGGAGUGGAAUGUAGUAUAGUAUAGUGUAGUAUAGUGGAGUAUGGUAUAGUAUAGUGUACAGUAUUGCAGGGAUGCAGGUGAGGUGUAUUUACAGAAGAUCCGUCAGAUUCUGGCAUGUUGGCGGAUUUGUUAGAUAAAUGUCUGACCCCGCUCAAAGAAAACACGCCUAUAACCAUCCUGACACUGACAUGGG
ensembl:lncRNA